CGGCCCUCCGCCCCGCUUCGGGGGCGGCCGCUUCCGUGAGACCGCAAGUUUCAAAAGUGGCCGCAUACAGAUUCUUCCCCCCUUUUAAAAGGAGACUUGAUACAUGCGUUACAAAAAGAUAUGAAAGAAAAGAAGUUACUGAAAAUCGAAACAGCAGCUGAAAAGCAGGCCUGGGCCAUGAGUGAUGAAACUGAGGACUAGACCUAAUAACUUGACCAAGGUUACACAGCGGAACCCUGGGGAUUGGCAACUAUGACAAAAAUAAUGGCACUGGUCAGAAACCAGGUUAAACCUUUACUACUGUGUGGUCAUAACUCCAUCCAGCCUGUGCUCCUGUCACACAGUAUCAGCUCAAUGUCUAGAAGGUCUGGAGACUGAAGCUCCACAUGGGCAAUUGAACAUGGAGACCCAGUAAAGACCCUGGACACCAAGACUUGGGUGAACUUCCCUGUUUGGCAAUAUUCUGUGCAUCAUGUCAGACAUCAUUGCUGGGAGAAGUUAACGCUGUCCAUGGAGGGAGGACAACUGGAAGCUCUGCAUUUGGAACCCUUCUGGACUCUUCCCCACACACCUCUUCACUUGGCUGAUUUUAAUCUUUAUCCUUUUGCUGUUAUAAACUGUAACCGUG
rnacentral:lncRNA from 1 species